UAAGGAAUAUUGGUCAAUGGACGCAAGUCUGAACCAGCCAUGCCGCGUGAAGGAUGAAGGUCCUCUGGAUUGUAAACUUCUUUUAUAUGGGACGAAACCUGGGAAUUCUUUUCCAAUUGACGGUACCAUAGGAAUAAGCACCGGCUAACUCCGUGCCAGCAGCCGCGGUAAUACGGAGGGUGCAAGCGUUAUCCGGAUUCACUGGGUUUAAAGGGUGCGUAGGAGGGUAGGUAAGUCAGUGGUGAAAUCUUCGAGCUUAACUCGGAAACUGCCGUUGAUACUAUCUAUCUUGAAUACCGUGGAGGUGAGCGGAAUAUGUCAUGUAGCGGUGAAAUGCUUAGAUAUGACAUAGAACACCAAUUGCGAAGGCAGCUCGCUACACGAAUAUUGACUCUGAGGCACGAAAGCGUGGGGAUCAAACAGG
rnacentral:rRNA from 1 species